AUGAACAAACCCAAGGACAUUGGGGAGUGUCCCCUCUGUGGGAAGAUCAUCCACACUGUCGCGAGGCACCUCAGGGAGGUCCAUUUGCUAAAGAACACGCAGGAGAGACUGAUCCUCAACCACCUGGCGACAGGCAGGACUUUGAUCCCCGCCGGACCCUGCCCCCUUCCCCUUCCCGGGUGUUCUUCACAUCUGUUAAACCUGGAGAAGCAUCUGCAGUCGCAGCACAGCAACCUGAGUGGCCAAAGUGUGGAUCGGGAGAUCAAGGCCCUCAAGCGAGCUGCAGCUCUUAGCAAGCUGGCGGCCUUGAGGGCCACUUCUCCCGAUCCACCUAUGGUCAGCGUGCUGGACCUGGAACAGCACCAGGCGGAGCAGACUGACCCGGAGGCGGGAGUGAUCAUGUGCCAGAAGCGCACAUGCGUCAAUGCCCGCCUCCGGGUCCGCCAGCUGGAGCGAGAGGUAGCAGACGUUCGUGCCAGUCUGACCCAGUUCCAGGCCCUGGCCUGGCCUCAGCGCCGACCUCGACGUGAGUGAAUGAAAAAAACAUAGCAAUUAUACCUUCUUUCCAUGAUCUAUUUAUUUCAAUAAAUUACAUUACAGUGUCAUUAAUUUGCAGUCCUGUUUUCUCUUGCUGUUUGUUUUUCCCUCUCCGCAGAGGCAGCCCCAGCCCCAUCCCGAGCCCCAGCCCCAGCCCCGGAGGAGGAGGAGGAGGAGGAGGAGGAGGAGGAGGAGCCUUCGUCCCCAGAGCAGGAAGCCCCGCCCAGAGCCCCAGCCCCAGCCCCAAUACCGGCCCCGGAGGAGGAGGAGGAGGAGGAGGAGGAGGAGGAGGAGGAGGAGGAGGAGGAGGAUGAAGAGGAGGAGGAGGAGGAGCAGCAGCAGGAGAAGCACACCCGGAAAGCGGUCCGUAGAAAACUGCCAUUUGGCACUCUUGGGGUGAGAAGAUAAUUGAUUAGUGUAAUACAUAAUCAUGUUGCCCAAGGCCAAAGUAUGUAACUUAAUCAUGUCUUGUUAUUGUUUUUCUCUCUACCCAGAAAAAAAGCAAGAUGUCAAAUGAAGCUGCUGCUGCUGAGGAGGAGAAGGAGGAGGAGGAGGAGGAGGAGGAAGAGGAGGAUGGAGGAGGAGGAGGCACCAGGGAUGUGGUGAGUGGGAUGGAUUAGUUCAUCAAUAAUUUUACAAAUCUUUACCAAGUGUAGAACCAAUGAGGAAAUGCGGUCAUACAAAAGUGGUGUUAAUUAUGUUUGUUUUUCGCGCAGUCGGCCUCACGGGUGUUGAUGUCCCUGCUCAAAGGGAAGAGCAGGGGCUCAACAAUUAGGAAAAUUACGUUUGGGACCUCCAUGGGUAAGAAAUAACACAUUGUGUAUUUGUGCAGGUGUGUCGAGUGUUUUCACGCUACAAUUCUCAU
rnacentral:lncRNA from 1 species